ACAGGGAUUGCCUCAGUAACGGCGAGUGAAGCGGCAAGAGCUCAAAUUUGAAAGCUGGCCCCCUCGGGGCCCGCAUUGUAAUUUGCAGAGGAUGCUUCGGGAGCGGCCCCCAUCUAAGUGCCCUGGAACGGGCCGUCAUAGAGGGUGAGAAUCCCGUCUGGGAUGGGGUGCCCGCGCCCGUGUGAAGCUCCUUCGACGAGUCGAGUUGUUUGGGAAUGCAGCUCUAAAUGGGUGGUAAAUUUCAUCUAAAGCUAAAUAUUGGCCGGAGACCGAUAGCGCACAAGUAGAGUGAUCGAAAGAUGAAAAGCACUUUGAAAAGAGAGUUAAAAAGCACGUGAAAUUGAUAACAAGGAAGCGUUUGCGACCAGACUCGCCUACGGGGUUCAGCCUGCCUUCGGGCGGGUGUACUUCCCCGUGGGCGGGCCAGCGUCGGUUUGGGCGGCCGGUCAAAGGCCCGCGGAAUGUAACGCCCCUCGGGGCGUCUUAUAGCCGUGGGUGCCAUGCGGCCUGCCCGGACCGAGGAACGCGCUUCGGCUCGGACGCUGGCAUAAUGGUCGUCAACGACCCGUCUUGAAACACGGACCAAGGAGUCUAACAUCUAUGCGAGUGUUCGGGUGUCAAACCCGUGCGCGCAGUGAAAGCGAACGGAGGUGGGAACCCCCCGGGGUGCACCAUCGACCGAUCCUGAUGUCUUCGGAUGGAUUUGAGUACGAGCAUAGCUGUUGGGACCCGAAAGAUGGUGAACUAUGCCUGAAUAGGGCGAAGCCAGAGGAAACUCUGGUGGAGGCUCGCAGCGGUUCUGACGUGCAAAUCGAUCGUCAAAUUUGGGUAUAGGGGCGAAAGACUAAUCGAACCAUCUAGUAGCUGGUUCCUGCG
rnacentral:rRNA from 1 species